UAUCGGCCUGCAGGCACUAUUGGCGACCUUCUGUUUAUUUGUUGGAUGAGAAGAUCUAGAUCACAAUAAAAUCAUGACAGAGAAUACUGAAAUUGAUGACCGCGUGGAUCUUGAUGACGAAAAUUACUCUGAGGAAGAUGAAGAUCCAGAAUUGAUAGAAGAUGACGGAGCUGGAGAAGACGGCGAUGAAAACGGUGAAGAGCAAUCAUAUGAUUCCGGAGGUGGGGAUAGUGGGAGAGCAGAGUCUCCAGAAGCAGAUCGAGGAAGAUGAAGAUCCAGAACUGAUAGAAGAUGACGGAGCUGGAGAAGACGGCGAUGAAAACGGUGAAGAGCAAUCAUAUGAUUCCGGAGGUGGGGAUAGUGGGAGAGCAGAGUCUCCAGAAGCAGAUAUGCGUGACGUUC
rnacentral:lncRNA from 1 species